CUUACCAUGCCAGUCGAACGGGUAACAGGCAAGCAGCUUGCUGCUUUGCUGACGAGUGGCGGACGGGUUGAGUAAUGUCUGGGAAACUGCCUGAUGGAGGGGGAUAACUACUGGAAACGGUAGCUAAUACCGCAUAACGUCGCAAGACCAAAGAGGGGGACCUUCGGGCCUCUUGCCAUCAGAUGUGCCCAGAUGGGAUUAGCUNGUUGGUGGGGUAACGGCUCACCAAGGCGACGAUCCCUAGCUGGUCUGAGAGGAUGACCAGCCACACUGGAACUGAGACACGGUCCAGACUCCUACGGGAGGCAGCAGUGGGGAAUAUUGCACAAUGGGCGCAAGCCUGAUGCAGCCAUGCCUGCGUGUAUGAAGAAGGCCUUCGGGUCUUUGUAAAGUACUUUCAGCGGGGAGGAAGGUGUUGUGGUUAAUAACCACAGCAAUUGACGUUACCCGCAGAAGAAGCACCGGCUAACUCCGUGCCAGCAGCCGCGGUAAUACGCGAGGGUGCAAGCGUUAAUCGGAAUUACUGGGCGUAAAGCGCACGCAGGCGGUCUGUUAAGUCAGAUGUGAAAUCCCCGGGCUCAACCUGGGAACUGCAUCUGAUACUGGUAUCAGGCUUGAGUCUCGUAGAGGGGGGUAGAAUUCCAGGUGUAGCGGUGAAAUGCGUAGAGAUCUGGAGGAAUAUACCGGUGGCGAAGGCGGCCCCGGCAACAAGA
rnacentral:rRNA from 1 species